rnacentral:rRNA from 1 species
CCUACGGGAGUCAGCAGUGGGGCAUAUUGGGCAAUGGGCGCAAGCCUGACCCAGCAACGCCGCGUGAAGGAAGGAGGCCCUCGGGUUGUAAACUUCUUUUGUCAGGGACGAAACAAAUGACGGUACCUGACGAAUAAGCCACGGCUAACUACGUGCCAGCAGCCGCGGUAAUACGUAGGUGGCAAGCGUUAUCCGGAUUUACUGGGUGUAAAGGGCGUGUAGGCGGGAGGGCAAGUCAGAUGGGAAAUUCCAGGGCUCAACCCUGGAACUGCAUUUGAAACUGUGUUUCUUGAGUGAUGGAGAGGCAGGCGGAAUUCCGGGUGUAGCGGUGAAAUGCGUAGAUAUACGGAGGAACACCAGUGGCGAAGGCGGCCUGCUGGACAUUAACUGACGCUGAGGCGCGAAAGCGUGGGGAGCAAACAGGAUUAGAUACCCUGGUAGUC